rnacentral:rRNA from 1 species
CCACGGGAGGCUGCAGUGGGGAAUAUUGGACAAUGGGGGGAACCCUGAUCCAGCCAUGCCGCGUGUGUGAAGAAGGCCCUCGGGUUGUAAAGCACUUUCAGUGAGGAAGAACGCCUGGUGGUUAAUACCCAUCAGGAAAGACAUCACUCACAGAAGAAGCACCGGCUAACUCCGUGCCAGCAGCCGCGGUAAUACGGAGGGUGCGAGCGUUAAUCGGAAUUACUGGGCGUAAAGCGCGCGUAGGUGGCUUGAUAAGCCGGUUGUGAAAGCCCCGGGCUCAACCUGGGAACGGCAUCCGGAACUGUCAAGCUAGAGUGCAGGAGAGGAAGGUAGAAUUCCCGGUGUAGCGGUGAAAUGCGUAGAGAUCGGGAGGAAUACCAGUGGCGAAGGCGGCCUUCUGGACUGACACUGACACUGAGGUGCGAAAGCGUGGGUAGCAAACAGGAUUAGAUACCCUAGUAGUC